rnacentral:rRNA from 1 species
AACGAACGCUGGCGGCAGGCCUAAAACACGCAAGUCGAACGAACCUUCGGGUUAGUGGCGCACGGGUGCGUAACGCGUGGGAAUAUACCUCUGGGUGCGGAACAACGUCUGGAAACGGACGCUAAUACCGCAUAGUAUCCACGGAUCAAAGAUUUAUCGCCCAGAGAUUAGCCCGCGUCUGAUUAGCUAGUUGGUGAGGUAAUGGCUCACCAAGGCGACGAUCAGUAGCUGGUCUGAGAGGAUGAUCAGCCACACUGGAACUGAAACACGGUCCAGACUCCUACGGGAGGCAGCAGUUGGGAAUAUUGGACAAUGGGGGAAACCCUGAUCCAGCCAUGCCGCGUGAGUGAAGAAGGCCUUAGGGUUGUAAAGCUCUUUCGGCUGUGAAGAUAAUGACAGUAGCAGAAGAAGAAGCUCCGGCUAAAUUCGUGCCAGCAGCCGCGGUAA